rnacentral:rRNA from 1 species
UACGUAGGGCGCAAGCGUUGUCCGGAAUUAUUGGGCGUAAAGAGCUCGUAGGCGGUUUCGUUAGUCGGGUGUGAAAACUCCAGGCUCAACCUGGAGACGCCACCCGAUACUGCGAUGACUAGAGUCCGGUAGGGGAGUGUGGAAUUCCUGGUGUAGCGGUGAAAUGCGCAGAUAUCAGGAGGAACACCAACGGCGAAGGCAGCACUCUGGGCCGGAACUGACGCUGAGGAGCGAAAGCGUGGGUAGCGAACAGG